GACGAACGCUGGCGGCGUGCCUAAUACAUGCAAGUAGGACGCAGUUGCGAACGGGUGAGUAACGCGUAGGUAACUGCCUAUUAGAGGGGGAUAACUAUUGGAAACGAUAGCUAAUACCGCAUACUAGUAGAUGGACCUGCGUUGUAUGAGCUAGUAGGUAGGGUAAUGGCCUACCUAGGCGACGAUACAUAGCCGACCUGAGAGGAUGAUCGGCCCCACUGGGACGUAGCCACGGCCCAGAUGCCUACGGGAGGCAGCAGUAGGGAAUCUUCGGCAAUUGGGGGAACCCUGACCGCGCAACGCCGCGUGAGUGAAGAAGUUUUUCGGAUCGUAAGGCUCUGUUGUUAAAGAAGCGGUACUUAACCAGAAAGGGACGGCUAACUACGUGCCAGCCGCCGCGGUAAUAC
rnacentral:rRNA from 1 species